CGACCGCUGGCGGCGUGCUUAACACAUGCACGUCGAACGGAAAGGCCCUGCUUUUGUGGGGUGCUCGAGUGGCGAACGGGUGAGUAACACGUGAGUAACCUGCCCUUGACUUUGGGAUAACUUCAGGAAACUGGGGCUAAUACCGGAUAGGAGCUCCUGCUGCAUGGUGGGGGUUGGAAAGUUUCGGCGGUUGGGGAUGGACUCGCGGCUUAUCAGCUUGUUGGUGGGGUAGUGGCUUACCAAGGCUUUGACGGGUAGCCGGCCUGAGAGGGUGACCGGCCACAUUGGGACUGAGAUACGGCCCAGACUCCUACGGGAGGCAGCAGUGGGGAAUGUUGCACAAUGGGCGGAAGCCUGAUGCAGCAACGCCGCGUGCGGGAUGACGGCCUUCGGGUUGUAAACCGCUUUCGCCUGUGACGAAGCGUGAGUGACGGUAAUGGGUAAAGAAGCACCGGCUAACUACGUG
rnacentral:rRNA from 1 species